AAAACUAACCCAUACACUCCAUGCAAGCACGGAUCAUUUAUCCAGGAAUAUCUGCAGGGACAAGGAGUCUCAGGCACAGAGAAAACACAGGAGUCUCCAGGGGCUUCCUGGGCCCCACCUCCAUAGGCUGAACGACAUUCUCCUACAGUGAGCCCGGAAUUCAGCACUCUUAGCAAGCAUCCUAGGUGAGUCGUCUUUCCAUUGCAUAUUUGGAACUACAACACUGUAAGUUUAGUGCAUUGUGGUAGGAGAAGCCCUGAAGAGGGGCCCUAACUCAACCCAGUAAUUGUGGAGAAAUCAUAGAAGGCUUCAUUUUGGAAGUGGUGCCUGAGUUGGGUCUUGGAGGAUGGGGACAGGUAGCAGAAGAAACAAAAGGAGGAGGGCCCAGGCAGGGAAGAAAAAUGAAACAUGAAGGAGAUGGUGUGUUGGGGACCCACCUGUAGGUCCACAUAGUUGGGACACAGAGAAGCAUGAAUCAGGGUGUGAGAAGAGCCAGGGCAAGUAAAUAGAGACCUGAUUAAGACAGGGCUUGACUCGCAUAUACUGAUGGACCCAGGAGCCCUGGAUUGGAAGAGAUCUUGAAUGGCAAGCCAGACUGCACUUGGUCAGGAUGACUCUGUCUGCUUAUUUAGAACACUGUAUUGCAUUGUUCUCUGGUAAAGGAAGACCUUGCCUUUUGAGAUUCUAAAUCAAGGGUCUUCAAACAUUUUUGGUUCAUAACCCCUAAAAGAAAUAUUUAAAAAAUAUUUUCCAACAUUUUAACAGUGACAUCUAAAAAUUUUAUCUUAUGUUUAGUGGUGUAGAAUGGAAUAUCUAGCAUAUGACAUUUUAAGAUAAACUAUUUUAUCAGUCUUUUAAGUGUACCCAGAGGAAUCUAAAUAACCUUGGCAACUCAAUACCUCUGACAUCUAUUUUAAAAAUAUAGGAACACGUUUUUUUUUUUUUUUGAGCAGUUGGAGAGUUUGCAUAUUUUCUUAUUCUUGUGUUCACUUACCAUCCCUUUCUUUCACAGAAUUUGAUCCUAUAUAAUAUAUUUUACAGUAGAAAGAAAGUUUCUUAUUCGUCCCUCAAAUAUACCUCUAAAAUGAAUAUAUAGGUUUAUGUGUAUAUAUAUAUAUGUACAAUGAAUUUUAGUUUUUAUCCCUUGUGACCAUGAGGCAGUCACUGCCAAAUUUCUCCUGGACUGAGUUAACACUAUAAUUAUAAUUAUUAGUAGUACACAAUUUAUUAGAACUCUCUGACAAAUUUUUAUUAUUACUACACACAAAAUAAAAUUGUAUUAAUGAGAUGAUUUUUUCCUCAAUUAAUGUAUCCAAGGAUGAAGUAACUCAGUAAUAGAAUAAGACAGGGUUCAGCAUCAGUUCUUGUUUAUUUUUAUAAAUGUACCUGUGAAUCCUCAUUCACAAAAGGCAGUAGAUGGGAAUGGAGCCAUUUUCAAUUAGCAAUGCUACUUGAUUUUUAAAACUUUCUUUUGAGUUAUAUGAACAGAAUUAUAUUUAAUGAUAAGUUGGCACCUAGAUUAGG
rnacentral:lncRNA from 1 species